CCUUACGAGUAGGGCUACACACGUGCUACAAUGGCGCAUACAAAGAGAAGCGACCUCGCGAGAGCAAGCGGACCUCAUAAAGUGCGUCGUAGUCCGGAUUGGAGUCUGCAACUCGACUCCAUGAAGUCGGAAUCGCUAGUAAUCGUGGAUCAGAAUGCCACGGUGAAUACGUUCCCGGGCCUUGUACACACCGCCCGUCACACCAUGGGAGUGGGUUGCAAAAGAAGUAGGUAGCUUAACCUUCGGGAGGGCGCUUACCACUUUGUGAUUCAUGACUGGGGUG
rnacentral:rRNA from 1 species